rnacentral:lncRNA from 1 species
AUAUCAAUAACAAAUACUAAAUAGAAGCUCAAACGUCGUCUUUGACGUUGCAUUCAUAUCAUUCUUAUCCAAAGCAUGUACAGAAACACAUAACCAAAGCUCUGGAUAUCACAUCAAACAUACAGAAGGUGUAGUGGGACCACAGACAGAAUGUGAUUCAUCCAUUUCUGAAUGACCACCAGACAGAAGUCUCCCACGUCUGGGAGCUCCAUCCACCCACGUCUAGGUGAAGUCAGAGGGGGCCCGCAGAGCAUCGCAGGCUCUAUGCAUAACUCCCUUUACCAUUUCUGGCAAAGGUUCACAUUAUCCCACAACACCAGAGUACAAAAGGUAGUAUGAACAAUAAAUAGCAUAUAUCAGAAGCACACGCGGAACAACAAAAUGUACAUGUGCCUUUACGAGUCAAUACGAUGCAAGCAACAAUCUCUCACAAAUGUAUUCAGAUUUGGAAUGAAAUGAAAGUAAGAGUAUACACGGAUU